rnacentral:rRNA from 1 species
AUUGAACGCUGGCGGCAGGCCUAACACAUGCAAGUCGAGCGAGCGGCGGACGGGUGAGUAAUGUCUGGGAAACUGCCUGAUGGAGGGGGAUAACUACUGGAAACGGUAGCUAAUACCGCAUACCAUCAGAUGUGCCCAGAUGGGAUUAGCUAGUAGGGGGGGUAACGGCCAACUUAGGCGACGAUCCCUAACUGGUCUUAGAGGAUGACCAGCCACACUGGAACGGAGACACGGUCCAGACUCCUACGGGAGGCAGCAGUGUGGAAUAUUGCACAAUUGGCGCAAGCCUGAUGCAGCCAUGCCGCGUGUGUGAAGAAGGCCUUCGGGUUGUAAAGCACUUUCAUCGGGGAGGCGUUACCCGCAGAAGAAGCACCGGCUAACUCCGUGCCAGCAGCCGCGGUAAUAC